rnacentral:rRNA from 1 species
AUACGUAGGUGGCGAGCGUUGUCCGGAUUUACUGGGCGUAAAGGAUGCGUAGGCGGAUGUUUAAGUCAGAUGUGAAAAUCCCGAGCUUAACUUGGGAACUGCAUUUGAAACUGGAUAUCUAGAGUGCAGGAGAGGAGAAUGGAAUUCCUAGUGUAGCGGUGAAAUGCGUAGAGAUUAGGAAGAACACCAGUGGCGAAGGCGAUUCUCUGGACCGUAACUGACGCUGAGGCAUGAAAGCGUGGGUAGC